GCUGGCGGCGUGCCUAACACAUGCAAGUCGAACGAGAAAGUGGAGCGAUCCAUGAGUACAGUGGCGUACGGGUGAGUAACACGUGACUAACCUACCCUCGAGUGGGGAAUAACUUCGGGAAACCGAGGCUAAUACCGCAUAAUGUCUACGGACCAAAUGCGUAAGCAGCUUGAGGAGGGGGUCGCGGCUGAUUAGCUUGUUGGCGGGGUAACGGCCCACCAAGGCAAUGAUCAGUAGCCGGCCUGAGAGGGCGCACGGCCACACUGGAACUGAAACACGGUCCAGACUCCUACGGGAGGCAGCAGUGGGGAAUUUUGCGCAAUGGGGGAAACCCUGACGCAGCAACGCCGCGUGGAGGAUGAAGCCCCUUGGGGUGUAAACUCCUUUCGAUCGGGACGAUUAUGACGGUACCGGAUGAAGAAGCACCGGCUAACUCUGUGCCAGCAGCCGCGGUAAUACAGAGGGUGCAAGCGUNGUUCGGAAUUAUUGGGCGUAAAGGGUGCGUA
rnacentral:rRNA from 1 species